rnacentral:piRNA from 1 species
UGAUUUCAGAGACUUCUUGAAGCAACAGAGU